UACGGGGGGAGCAAGCGUUGUUCGGAUUUACUGGGCGUAAAGGGCGCGUAGGCGGCCACUGCAAGUCGGUUGUGAAAUCUCCGGGCUUAACCCGGAAAGGUCAAUCGAUACUGCAGGGCUAGAGUGCAGAAGGGGCAACUGGAAUUCUCGGUGUAGCGGUGAAAUGCGUAGAUAUCGAGAGGAACACCAGUGGCGAAGGCGAGUCCCUGGACAACACCUGACACUGAGGCACGAAAGCUAGGGGAGCAAACAGG
rnacentral:rRNA from 1 species